rnacentral:rRNA from 1 species
UACCAGCACCCCGAGUGGUCGGGACGAUUAUUGGGCCUAAAGCAUCCGUAGCCGGUUCUACAAGUCUUCCGUUAAAUCCACCUGCUUAACAGAUGGGCUGCGGAGGAUACUAUAGAGCUAGGAGGCGGGAGAGGCAAGCGGUACUUAGUGGGUAGGGGUAAAAUCCGUUGAUCCAUUGAAGACCACCAGUGGCGAAGGCGGCUUGCCAGAACGCACUCGACGGUGAGGGAUGAAAGCUGGGGGAGCGAACCGG